rnacentral:rRNA from 1 species
GACGAACGCUGGCGGCGUGCCUAAUACAUGCAAGUAGGACGCAGUUGCGAACGGGUGAGUAACGCGUAGGUCACUGCCUCUUAGAGGGGGGUAACUAUUGGAAACGAUAGCUAAUACCGCAUACUAGUAGAUGGACCUGCGUUGUAUUAGCUAGUAGGUAGGGUAAUGGCCUACCUAGGCAACGAUACAUAGCCGACCUGAGAGGGUGAGCGGCCACACCGGGACUGGUACACGGCCCAGACUCCUACGGGAGGCAGGAGUAGGGAAUCUUCGGCAAUGGGGGGAAACCUGACCGAGCAACGCCGCGUGAGUGAAGAAGGUUUUCGGAUCGUAAAGCUCUGUUGGUAAGGAAGCGGUACUUAACCAGAAAGGGACGGCUAACUACGUGCCAGCAGCCGCGGUAAUAC